rnacentral:rRNA from 1 species
GACAGAGGGUGCAAACGUUGCUCGGAAUUACUGGGCGUAAAGGGCGUGUAGGCGGGAAGGCAAGUCGGGCGUGAAAGCCCCAGGCUCAACCUGGGAACUGCACUCGAAACUGCCUUUCUUGAGUGCCGGAGAGGAAAGCGGAAUUCCUGGUGUAGAGGUGAAAUGCGCAGAUAUCAGGAGGAACACCGGUGGCGAAGGCGGGUCUCUGGGCGAGUGAACUGACGCUGGAGGAGCGAAAGCGUGGGUAGCAAACAGG